AAGGUAGCAUAAUAAUUUGCCUUAUAAUUUGAGGCUAGAAUGAAUGGUUUGACGAAGGUUAGUCUGUCUCUAUUUUACUUUUUAGAAAUUAAUUUUCAUAGUGAAAAAGCUUGAAUUUUUUAAAGGGACGAGAAGACCCUAUUGAGCUUGUAAUUUUAUUAGUUACCAGUUAAUAUUAUAUAAAUAUGGUAACUUAUAAAUUUUAAUUGGGGUGAUUAAGGAAUAAAUGUUUAGUUAGUAACUUCCUUAGAUUAAUAAAUAAAUUGUUAAAUGAAGUAACCAAUAAAAUUUAAUGUAUAAAUAUUGCUUAUAAUAUAGUUACCAUAGGGAUAACAGCGUAAUUUAUUUAGAGAGUUCUUAUUGAGACAAUGAGAUUGCGAC
rnacentral:rRNA from 1 species